GGAUGCGAUCAUACCAGCUCUAAAGCAUCGAAUCCCAUUAGAACUUCGAAGUUAAGCGUGCUUGGGCGAGAGUAGUACUAGGAUGGGUAACCUCCUGGGAAGUCCUCGUGUUGCAUUCC
rnacentral:rRNA from 1 species